rnacentral:rRNA from 1 species
GACGAACGCUGGCGGCGUGCCUAAUACAUGCAAGUUGAGCGCUGAAGGUUGGUACUUGUACCGACUGGAUGAGCAGCGAACGGGUGAGUAACGCGCGGGGAAUCCGCCUUUGAGCGGGGGACAACAUUUGGAGACGAAUGCUAAUACAGCAUAAAAACUUUAAACACAAGUUUUAAGUUUGAAAGAUGCAAUAGCAUCACUCAAAGAUGAACACGCGUUGUAUUAGCUAGUUGGUGAGGUAAAGGCGCACCAAGGCGAUGAUACAUAGCCGACCUGAGAGGGUGAUCGGCCACAUUGGGACUGAGACACGGCCCAAACUCCUACGGGAGGCAGAAGUAGGGAAUCUUCGGCAAUGGACGAAAGUCUGACCGAGCAACGCCGCGUGAGUGAAGAAGGUUUUCGGAUCGUAAAACUCUGUUGGUAGAGAAGAACGUUGGUGAGAGUGGAAAGCUCAUCAAGUGACGGUAACUACCCAGAAAGGGACGGCUAACUACGUGCCAGCCGCCGCCGUAA